GAGUAAGACUUGAGUAACCUACCUUUCAGAGGGGGACAACUAGAGGAAACUCUAGCUAAUACCGCGUACGUCCAUUUUUUCUGCGGAAGAAAUGGAGAAAGCCGUAAGGCGCUGAAUGAGGGGCUCGAGCACCAUUAGCUUGAUGGUGGGGUAACGGCCUACCAUUGCUACGAUGGUUAGCUGGUUUGAGAGGAUGAUCAGCCACACUGGAACUGACACACGGUCCAG
rnacentral:rRNA from 1 species